rnacentral:rRNA from 1 species
AACGAACGCUGGCGGCAGGCUUAACACAUGCAAGUCGAACGCCCCGCCAGGGGAGUGGCAGACGGGAGAGUAACGCGUGGGAACAUACCCUUUCCUGCGGAAUAGCUCCGGGAAACUGGAAUUAAUACAGCAUACGCCCUACGGGGGAAAGAUUUAUCGGGGAAGGAUUGGCCCGCGUUGGAUUAGCUAGUUGGUGGGGUAAAGGCCUACCAAGGCGACGAUCCAUAGCUGGUCUGAGAGGAUGAUCAGCCACAUUGGGACUGAGACACGGCCCAAACUCCUACGGGAGGCAGCAGUGGGGAAUAUUGGACAAUGGGCGCAAGCCUGAUCCAGCCAUGCCGCGUGAGUGAUGAAGGCCUUAGGGUUGUAAAGCUCUUUCACCGAUGAAGAUAAUGACGGUAGUCGGAGAAGAAGCCCCGGCUAACUUCGUG